AUUGCCCCUAGAGGCGUUGCAAGCACCGGCUGCUGUGCUGGGUUUGCGUCAUUAGGAGGCAAAGAGGGACAGGCUACGUCUACGCUCAGUGCCCUGACAGCCACCCCGUGGGCACUUUGAAUGAUUUCUAGCCUAACAAAG
ensembl:snoRNA